rnacentral:rRNA from 1 species
CUUGGUCAUUUAGAGGAAGUAAAAGUCGUGACAAGGUUCCCUUCCGCCGCUCAGCACGGAGACCUUGCAACCCUUAGGGGAGGCAGCACGACAGUAAACAAAGCUUGCCGUUUGCAAGUCGGCCAAUCGGCCGGCAACACAAUCGAAUUGACGGGGACCUCCUAAAGCCUGUAACACCAACCGUCCGGGGAAACUCGGGCGGGGCCCUCACGGGGUGGUAAGAGAGUACAGGAUGUAACAAUGGACAAUCCGCAGCGAAGACCCUACCGGCUCCGGCCUACGGGUACCGUUCACAGACUAAGUGAUUGUGGGCGGGGCAACCGUGCCCUGUCUAAGAUAUAGUCGGACUCUACCCGAAAGGAUAGAGGAUAGCAUGUCCGUAGGUGAACCUGCGGAAGGAUCAUUAAAGAAUGCCCCGUUUUUUGAAAUGGGUUCUAUUCCCAAACCGUGUAUACAUACCUUUGUUGCUUUGGCAGGCCGCCUUCGGGCGUCGGCUCACGCUGACCGCGCCUGCCAGAGGACCCAAACUCGUUUGUUUAGUGAUGUCUGAGUACUAUAUAAUAGUUAAAACUUUCAACAACGGAUCUCUUGGUUCUGGCAUCGAUGAAGAACGCAGCGAAAUGCGAUAAGUAAUGUGAAUUGCAGAAUUCAGUGAAUCAUCGAAUCUUUGAACGCACAUUGCGCCCCUUGGUAUUCCGAGGGGCAUGCCUGUUCGAGCGUCAUUAUGACCACUCAAGCCUAGCUUGGUAUUGGGGUUCGCGGUCUCGCGGCCCUUAAAAUCAGUGGCGGUGCCAUCUGGCUCUAGGCGUAGUAAUUUAUCUCGCUAUUGGGUCCGGUGGUUGCUUGCCAACAACCCCCAACUUCUAAGG